rnacentral:lncRNA from 1 species
GCCAAUUCUUUGCCCCGUCUGGAUGCGUAUGAGUUUCACUUUCACUUUUUGAGUGCCAAUUCUUAAAAAACGAAUAAUUGAUGCAUGUUUAUUGGUUAUCUGUGUUCUACAGAGGUUUUAUAAUUUGUCUGUGUUUCUCUUUUCAUUAGUCAUAAGUUGCUGCUUCAGUUUACUUUUUAUUUUUUUAGUUUAUUGGGAGUUUUAUUGAAAUUAUGGGUUUGGCUGAUUAAUUUUGUACUUUGUAUUAUAUGGAAGUGAGAUUAGGAACUCCACCACUGGAGUUUAUUGUACGAAUUUUUUACUUUGAUUAAAAAAUAUUUGCUUCUCUAUUUUCCGUUUAAAUGAGACUAUAAAUUUGUGAAUCAUUAUUUGCUAAGUUAUGUACAGGCUAAAAUUUCUCUAGAAAAGGCGCACAAAGAUUUUGCUGGUGGACACAAAGGUAAGUGCUUACGAAAUAGAUAGAUAGAUAGAUUGAUAGAUAUAGUGCUAAGUGUAGCAGGCAAUAGUUUGAGGAUGAUAUCCUUUUCAAAGUGUAGAAAUGGACUGAUGAAGAAAACCCAAAAUUUAUCAAUUAUGUGGUGUUGAUGAGGCGGUGAAUAAAACAAGGCACCG